rnacentral:rRNA from 1 species
CGUAAAAAGCUACUUUCGCAUGAAAGAGUUUAAAAAAGUAGGCGUAAAGCUGUGCUAAGGAUGGACCUGCGAUGCAUUAGCUAGUUGGUAAGGUAACGGCUUACCAAGGCGAUGAUGCAUAGCCGAGUUGAGAGACUGAUCGGCCACAUUGGGACUGAGACACGGCCCAAACUCCUACGGGAGGCAGCAGUAGGGAAUCUUCCACAAUGGACGCAAGUCUGAUGGAGCAACGCCGCGUGAGUGAAGAAGGUUUUCGGAUCGUAAAGCUCUGUUGUUGGUGAAGAAGGAUAGAGGUAGUAACUGGCCUUUAUUUGACGGUAAUCAACCAGAAAGUCACGGGCUAACUACGUGCCAGCAGCCGCGGUAAAU